AACGAACGCUGGCGGCGUGCUUAAGACAUGCAAGUCGUACGGAAAGGCUCUCUUCGGAGAGUACUCGAGCGGCGCACGGGUGAGUAACGCGUGGGUAAUCUGCCUUCGGGUCUGGGACAACCCCGGGAAACUGGGGCUAAUACCGGAUGAGACCACGAGCUCUUCGGAGCUUGCGGAAAAAGAUGGCCUCUCCUUGGAAGCUAUCGCCCGUCGAUGAGCCCGCGUCCCAUUAGCUUGUUGGUGAGGUAACGGCUCACCAAGGCUUCGAUGGGGUAGCUGGUCUGAGAGGAUGAUCAGCCACACUGGAACUGAGACACGGUCCAGACUCCUACGGGAGGCAGCAGUCGGGAAUUUUGGGCAAUGGGCGAAAGCCUGACCCAGCAACGCCGCGUGAGGGAUGAAGGCCCUCGGGUCGUAAACCUCUGUCGGGAGGGAAGAACGGUUGCUCUUCGAAUAGGUGAGCAGCCUGACGGUACCUCCAAAGGAAGCACCGGCUAACUCCGUG
rnacentral:rRNA from 1 species